rnacentral:lncRNA from 1 species
AGAACGUGGACCUGUUGGGGGAAGCACGUACUCCUUUGUUUUAGUGAGCAGGUGAAUUAACAAUCCACAUUGUUUAUUCUAUAUGAUGUUUCUUUGACAUUAUUGAUAUGAUUCAGAACACUGAUAAAUACUUCUCUCCACGCCUGUUAAUGUACUGAUUGUUGUAUGCUCUUAUUAUUCUAAACAAUUUGGACUACUAGCUAAAUACCCGUGCGUUGCUAUGGGAUAACAAACAUUAAAUUUCAUGAACAUGUCAAAUGUGAUACACUGUUUUUUGUAGUAUGUGAUACAUUGUUACCACCGGUGGUGCUUCGUGAGGGCAAAAGCAUGCCAUGGCCUGCCCAGCCCGUGGGGUAAAAAUACAUGUAGUAGUACAGAUAUAGGAGUAGCCCAGCUCACAGCUGCCUUGCUUGCCUGUAGUGUCGCCUCUUAACGGUUUUUUCUUGGCCUCUGGGCUCUAUUGCUCGAUUCCUCUUCCUAUCCAGCAGAGUAGUAUGGGCACGAGCAACGCGUACAGCCGCAUGGAGGGCCAGAGAGACGUGGCGCGGAGCCGCCGUCGAGUCGCCGGUCGCACCGCCGCAGCAAGUAGCAGUACCGUGUGGUGCGGAGGCCCAAGGGCGACCCAUGCAGCGGUGGCCAGCCGGGCGAGUAGCAACCUAGACGACGAGCGCUGGUGCACAAGAACAUGUGCAGCCCCAAAACUGUCUCUCAGACAGUACUAAUUUUCGUAUAAAAUGUAGGUUAUAACACUCUGAAAUUCAAUCAAUUGAUAAUAAAUAUCUUAAUUUGGUACUAGAUAUUUGUCAUGGACAGCAGGGCUAAUCAACGCGGAAUUGAUUUGGUUUUCAAGAGAAAAAAGAGAUAUAAUGUUGAGAAAGAUUUAUCAGCAGCAGCUCUUCAUCCAUCGUUUGAGUUGAAAUAUUUGUGUUUCUUUAAAUUUUGCCUAUCCAGGUUUUCCUUUGUAGCACUGCCACUGACCGUUACUUUCCAAUUGUAUUUCCAUACACUGACGUCCUUCUCUUCCUUCGGUUUGAAAAUCUAGUAUGCAACUCCCCAGUUAAAUUCCUAUGUCUUGCUAGCCUUUUCCUCUAAAACACACCACAUAUACACCGAAUAUUCUAUGUUACUGUACACAUUUUCUUUGUCAUUUGGUUAUGUGAUUGUCCUGUCAUAACAUGCAGUUAUUAUAUAUGGACUUGGGUCAGGUCAAUGCAGAGGAUUCGUCUAUAUCAAGUACUUAUCUACAAAACUAAAAAAAGGUACUUAUCUACUACCGCUGUACAUCAUAGUGAAAAUAAAACUGAAUCCCAAUACCCCACUUAGAUGCAACCUACACCUGAGCUUUAUGCAUGUUCAUGUGCAAACUAUGCAUAUACUAAAGCUUGCAGCAAGCACACACACAUAUACACCAGCAGCGGCUCACUGUUAAUCAUCAUGUUAGUCAUUCAUUAAGUAGAGGCUCACUGUUUGUUUGUGCGCAGGUUUCCAAAGAAAUAAAUACUCAAUGCCAUUCGGUGGUUUUCAAUGUGCCAGUCUCCUUUUCUGCUUUUAUUUAAUUAUUUAUGUACUCCUAUCUUGCCAAUGAUUUACCUAUUGUUGUAUGUAAUUUAAUAUGAGGCACCGCACUCAUCCGUUCCGGCAAUAUCGAGAUGGAGGCCAACACCAUGGACGGCUGGAGCUGCGAGUAUAUUUGUCCAAGAUAUGGCAGUGUUUGUAGUCAUGGUUCUGGUAACUGUCUAUGAUCUCCAUAUCUUAACUAUUUGUGAAGAUGGAAAUGCAAGUAAUAUUCUUCUUAGAUGCUCUUGCCCUUUUGAUUCGUAAAUUGCUAAACUGACAACUGAGCUCUCACUACUUGUAUUCAUAAAUUGCUGAAUUACCCACAUGAACUCUUGAUGUCACAGUCCGUAAAUUGCUGAAUUUCUCAUUAUGUCGCUUGCACUGUUCCAUAUGAGCAAUGUCUAUUGUGCUUUUAACUCGUCAACUAAGUAGGUACUAUGUUAUUAGCGGCCUGCUUUUAGGCCACAACCACAUCUGUUUAUUUUUCUCUGAGUCUGUUUAUGUUUGUUAUGUGACCUGAAGUAGUAUAUUGAGUUCUAAGGGAAUGCUUUCAGGUCAGAACUUUUCUUUGUAUUAGUCAUAAUCUAGCCGGGCAACCAAUGUAUCGGAAGUAAUGACCCUUUGUAAGAAGUAAUGUUUCUUAUUUGUAGGGCAACCCAUCACUAUUUGCAUCAUGUCAAUGCAUUGUGUAUUAACGGUUCAUUUGGUUAUUUUCUUUGUAGAUAUACAUGGAUGAUUAUAUGGGUGCGUGGCAAGUAUACUACAAUGAUGAUGAUGAUGAUGUUCCGGUUCACGAUGAUGAAGAUGUUGUCUGUUUUCAGUUUUAGUUAUGAUGGUUGUUUUCAGUUUUAGUUAAGUUGUAGGGAUGCUGUUCCUGUUGGAUGAUGUUCCUUGGUUAGGUUUUAGUUAAGUUGUAGGGUUGUUGAUGGAUGCUGUCAGUUUAACUUUCGUUGUCAAGAGAAUGUUUAGAUUAUGCAUCACAUUUGGAUGUUAUUCCUCCUGUAAUAUCAACUAUUGUAAUCCCACAUUUUUUUCUCAAUAUAUGAUUUCUUCCUCUCGUGCGUAUAUUUUGUCUUCUGACUUGAUAUACAUACUUAGUACCAUUAUGUGAAGCAUUAAUUUAAUUGUUGGCAAUAUAUAAAAUAUUAUUCACAUUUUAUACGUAAAACACCUGAAGCGUUGCAAAUUCUUUGUUGCGAAGCAAUGAGAUUUUGAUUCCUGUACAUUAACCACCA